AGUGAACGCUGGCGGUAGGCCUAACACGUGCAAGUCGAACGGCAGCACAGGAGAGCUUGCUCUCUGGGUGGCGAGUGGCGGACGGGUGAGGAAUACAUCGGAAUCUACUUUUUCGUGGGGGAUAACGUAGGGAAACUUACGCUAAUACCGCAUACGACCUACGGGUGAAAGCAGGGGAUCUUCGGACCUUGCGCGAUUGAAUGAGCCGAUGUCGGAUUAGCUAGUUGGCGGGGUAAAGGCCCACCAAGGCGACGAUACGUAGCUGGUCUGAGAGGAUGAUCAGCCACACUGGAACUGAGACACGGUCCAGACUCCUACGGGAGGCAGCAGUGGGGAGUAUUGGACAAUGGGCGCAAGCCUGAUCCAGCCAUACCGCGUGGGUGAAGAAGGCCUUCGGGUUGUAAAGCCCUUUUGUUGGGAAAGAAAUCCAGCUGGUUAAUACCCGGUUGGGAUGACGGUACCCAAAGAAUAAGCACCGGCUAACUUCGUGCCAGCCGCCGCAGUAA
rnacentral:rRNA from 1 species